rnacentral:rRNA from 1 species
AUGGUGUGCCGGGGUAGCGGCCCCGGUCAAGGUGGGCAGCGCUGCUCCCUGCGGCGGACGGCGGCUGCGGGUGCUCGACUGGGCUCCUCGGCUUGCUUGGGCGGCGAGGCCCCGGUGGAUGGAGCUCGCGGUGGCCGGAUUUUCUCCGUCGGUCCGCCUCCAGAUCUGAUUCGACCAGCUCCAACUCCACCCUCCUCGCCUUCUCCCGUUCGAUCUGCUCGCCGGAUCCGGCGGUUGGCGGUGUUUUGGCGGUGGGGCUCCUGGGACCGGGGGAAACCCUUGGCCGCCGGCGGCGGCCACAACGACGACGAUGCCGCGGCGUCGAACUACUUCUUGGAGGCUUCGUUGAGGUAUCCCACCCCCCACCAAUCUGCCCCUGCAUCUAGGUGA